CAACUUCUGAAAGUCUCCCCAGUGAAGAUUUACUGUCUUGGAUCCUGACCAUGCAUCAGAUUUUGCAGCCAAGUAUAAACGUGCAGGUGGGAAGAAUGGUCGUUAUGCUGUGAAGUGUGAUGUAAAGCGUUCGGGAGAAGACUGCCUACACGCAAUGUAUUUUGCUCACAAGUCAUGCUUGUGAUUAUCAUGGGUGAUUGAUUUCUUUGGAUUACCCACGGUCCUUCUUUCCUUCUAGUCAGACCUCUUUUAAAAUGCAAGUAUUCGUGGUAGACAUGAAUAAUACAUCAAUAAACAUUUUGAUACCAAAACCUUACUAUGAACACACUUUCUAUUUCUAGUUCUUUCUGACAAAAGGGGAUCUGGAUUAUCCUAAGAAGAUCUGUUGGAGGAGGAUGGUAAAGGCGAAUCAAUAGAGGUGGUACCAGGAAUGUCCUGAGGAUUCCUAUAAAAAUAUGCCCAGAAACCUAAGGGCCCAGACUUAUUGCUGAUACUGUGAGUUGGAGAAUCUCAUCUCUCCUUUUAGCCUGCUUAAAGGAAAAAAAAAA